rnacentral:pre_miRNA from 1 species
CUGAUACUCCCUCCGUCCGAAAAUACUUGUCAUUAAAAUAGAUAAAAAGGAAUGUAUCCAGAACUAAAAUAUAUCUACAUACAUCCUCUUUUAUUUAUUUUGAUGACAAGUAUUUUCGGACGGAGGAAGUACUAG